rnacentral:rRNA from 1 species
GAUUGAACGCUGGCGGUAUGCUUAACACAUGCAAGUCGAACGGAAACGAUACUAGCUUGCUAGUAGGCGUCGAGUGGCGGACGGAUGAGUAACGCGUAGGAAUCUGCCUGAUAGUGGGGGAUAGCCCGAAGAAAUUCGGAUUAAUACCGCAUAAUCUAUUCGUAGUAAAGUGGGGGACUUUCGAGCCUCACGCUAUCAGAUGAGCCUGCGUAAGAUUAGCUAGUUGGUAGGGUAAAAGCCUACCAAGGCGACGAUCUUUAGCUGGUCUGAGAGGAUGAUCAGCCACAUCGGGACUGAGACACGGCCCGAACUCCUACGGGAGGCAGCAGUGGGGAAUAUUGGACAAUGGGGGCAACCCUGAUCCAGCAAUACCGCGUGUGUGAAGAAGGCCUGAGGGUUGUAAAGCACUUUCAAUUGUGAAGAAAAGUUAGCGGUUAAUAACCGUUAGCCUUGACGUUAACUUUAGAAGAAGCACCGGCUAACUCCGUGCCAGCAGCCGCGGUAAUACGGAGGGUGCAAGCGUUAAUCGGAAUUACUGGGCGUAAAGCGUGCGUAGGCGGUUUAUUAAGUCAGAUGUGAAAGCCCCGGGCUUAACCUGGGAACUGCAUUUGAAACUGGUCAACUAGAGUAUGGUAGAGGAAAGUGGAAUUUCUGGUGUAGCGGUGAAAUGCGUAGAUAUCAGAAGGAACAUCAAUGGCGAAGGCAGCUUUCUGGACCAAUACUGACGCUGAGGUACGAAAGCGUGGGUAGCAAACAGGAUUAGAUACCCUGGUAGUCCACGCCGUAAACGAUGAUAACUAGCCGUUGGGGGGAUUUACCCUUUAGUGGCGAAGCUAACGCGUUAAGUUAUCCGCCUGGGGAGUACGGCCGCAAGGUUAAAACUCAAAGGAAUUGACGGGGACCCGCACAAGCGAUGGAGCAUGUGGUUUAAUUCGAUGCAACGCGAAGAACCUUACCUGGUCUUGACAUCCUGCGAACUUUCUAGAAAUAGAUUGGUGCCUUCGGGAACGCAGUGACAGGUGCUGCAUGGCUGUCGUCAGCUCGUGUCGUGAGAUGUUGGGUUAAGUCCCGUAACGAGCGCAACCCCUAUCCUUAUUUGCCAGCACAUCAUGGUGGGAACUAUAAGGAGACUGCCGGUGAUAAACCGGAGGAAGGCGGGGACGACGUCAAGUCAUCAUGGCCCUUACGACCAGGGCUACACACGUGCUACAAUGGGAAGGACAAAGAGCCGCGAAGCCGCGAGGUGUAGCUAAUCUCAUAAACCUUUUCGUAGUCCGGAUUGGAGUCUGCAACUCGACUCCAUGAAGUCGGAAUCGCUAGUAAUCGUAGAUCAGAAUGCUACGGUGAAUACGUUCCCGGGUCUUGUACACACCGCCCGUCA